rnacentral:tRNA from 1 species
CGGGAUAGCUCAGCUGGUAGAGCAGCGACUGAAA